rnacentral:rRNA from 1 species
AGGGUUUGAUUAUGGCUCAGAUUGAACGCUGGCGGCAUGCCUUACACAUGCAGGUCGAACGGCAGCACGGGAGCAAUCCUGGUGGCGAGUGGCGAACGGGUGAGUAAUACAUCGGAACGUGUCCUGGAGUGGGGGAUAGCCCGGCGAAAGCCGGAUUAAUACCGCAUACGAUCUAGGGAUGAAAGCGGGGGACCGAAAGGCCUCGCGCUCAAGGGGCGGCCGAUGGCAGAUUAGCUAGUUGGUGGGGUAAAGGCCUACCAAGGCGACGAUCUGUAGCUGGUCUGAGAGGACGACCAGCCACACUGGGACUGAGACACGGCCCAGACUCCUACGGGAGGCAGCAGUGGGGAAUUUUGGACAAUGGGGGCAACCCUGAUCCAGCAAUGCCGCGUGUGUGAAGAAGGCCUUCGGGUUGUAAAGCACUUUUGUCCGGAAAGAAAACCGCUUCUCUAAUACAGAGGUGGGAUGACGGUACCGGAAGAAUAAGCACCGGCUAACUACGUGCCAGCAGCCGCGGUAAUACGUAGGGUGCGAGCGUUAAUCGGAAUUACUGGGCGUAAAGCGUGCGCAGGCGGUUCGCUAAGACCGAUGUGAAAUCCCCGGGCUUAACCUGGGAACUGCAUUGGUGACUGGCGGGCUAGAGUAUGGCAGAGGGGGGUAGAAUUCCACGUGUAGCAGUGAAAUGCGUAGAGAUGUGGAGGAAUACCGAUGGCGAAGGCAGCCCCCUGGGCCAAUACUGACGCUCAUGCACGAAAGCGUGGGGGAGCAAACAGGAUUAGAUACCCUGGUAGUCCACGCCCUAAACGAUGUCAACUAGUUGUCGGGUCUUCAUUGACUUGGUAACGAAGCUAACGCGUGAAGUUGACCGCCUGGGGAGUACGGUCGCAAGAUUAAAACUCAAAGGAUUGACGGGACCCGCACAAGCGGUGGAUGAUGUGGAUUAAUUCG